UGGAAACUNUCUGACUUGAGUGCAGAAGGGGAGAGUGGAAUUCCAUGUGUAGCGGUGAAAUGCGUAGAUAUAUGGAGGAACACCAGUGGCGAAAGCGGCUNUCUGGUCUGUCACUGACGCUGAGGCUCGAAAGCGUGGGUAGCGAACAGGAUUAGAUACCCUGGUAGUNCACGCCGUAAACGAUGAGUGCUAGGUGUUAGGCCCUUUCCGGGGCUUAGUGCCGGAGCUACCGCAAUAAGCACUCCGCCUGGGGAGUACGACCGCAAGGUUGAAACUCAAAGGAAUUGACGGGGGCCCGCACAAGCGGUGGAGCAUGUGGUUUAAUUCGAAGCAACGCGAAGAACCUUACCAGGUCUUGACAUCCCGAUGCUAUUCUUAGAGAUAGGAAGUUACUUCGGUACAUCGGAGACAGGUGGUGCAUGGUUGUCGUCAGCUCGUGUCGUGAGAUGUUGGGUUAAGUCCCGCAACGAGCGCAACCCUUAUUGUUAGUUGCCAUCAUUAAGUUGGGCACUCUAGCUAGACUGCCGGUAAUAAACCGGAGGAAGGUGGGGAUGACGUCAAAUCAUCAUGCCCCUUAUGACCUGGGCUACACACGUGCUACAAUGGUCGGUACAACGAGUUGCGAGCCGGUGACGGCAAGCUAAUCUCUGAAAGCCGAUCUCAGUUCGGAUUGGAGGCUGCAACUCGCCUCCAUGAAGUCGGAAUCGCUAGUAAUCGCGGAUCAGCACGCCGCGGUGAAUACGUUCCCGGGCCUUGUACACACCGCCCGUCACACCACGAGAGUUUGUAACACCCGAAGUCGGUGAGGUANCCUUUUAGGG
rnacentral:rRNA from 1 species